rnacentral:rRNA from 2 species
GUGACUGCGUACCUUUUGUAUAAUGGGUCAGCGACUUAUAUUCUGUAGCAAGGUUAACCGUAUAGGGGAGCCGUAGGGAAACCGAGUCUUAACCGGGCGUUAAGUUGCAGGGUAUAGACCCGAAACCCGGUGAUCUAGCCAUGGGCAGGUUGAAGGUUGGGUAACACUAACUGGAGGACCGAACCGACUAAUGUUGAAAAAUUAGCGGAUGACCUGUGGCUGGGGGUGAAAGGCCAAUCAAACCGGGAGAUAGCUGGUUCUCCCCGAAAGCUAUUUAGGUAGCGCCUCGUGAAUUCAUCUCCGGGGGUAGAGCACUGUUUCGGCUAGGGGGCCAUCCCGGCUUACCAACCCGAUGCAAACUGCGAAUACCGGAGAAUGUUAUCACGGGAGACACACGGCGGGUGCUAACGUCCGUCGUGAAGAGGGAAACAACCCAGACCGCCAGCUAAGGUCCCAAAGUCAUGGUUAAGUGGGAAACGAUGUGGGAAGGCCCAGACAGCCAGGAUGUUGGCUUAGAAGCAGCCAUCAUUUAAAGAAAGCGUAAUAGCUCACUGGUCGAGUCGGCCUGCGCGGAAGAUGUAACGGGGCUAAACCAUGCACCGAAGCUGCGGCAGCGACGCUGAUGCGUUGUUGGGUAGGGGAGCGUUCUGUAAGCCUGUGAAGGUGGCCUGUGAGGGUUGCUGGAGGUAUCAGAAGUGCGAAUGCUGACAUAAGUAACGAUAAAGCGGGUGAAAAGCCCGCUCGCCGGAAGACCAAGGGUUCCUGUCCAACGUUAAUCGGGGCAGGGUGAGUCGACCCCUAAGGCGAGGCCGAAAGGCGUAGUCGAUGGGAAACGGGUUAAUAUUCCCGUACUUGGUGUUACUGCGAAGGGGGGACGGAGAAGGCUAUGUUGGCCGGGCGACGGUUGUCCCGGUUUAAGCGUGUAGGUGUGUGUUCCAGGUAAAUCCGGUUCACUUUAACACUGAGGCGUGAUGACGAGGCACUACGGUGCUGAAGCAACAAAUGCCCUGCUUCCAGGAAAAGCCUCUAAGCAUCAGGUAACAUCAAAUCGUACCCCAAACCGACACAGGUGGUCAGGUAGAGAAUACCAAGGCGCUUGAGAGAACUCGGGUGAAGGAACUAGGCAAAAUGGUGCCGUAACUUCGGGAGAAGGCACGCUGACACGUAGGUGAAGUGAUUUACUCAUGGAGCUGAAGUCAGUCGAAGAUACCAGCUGGCUGCAACUGUUUAUUAAAAACACAGCACUGUGCAAACACGAAAGUGGACGUAUACGGUGUGACGCCUGCCCGGUGCCGGAAGGUUAAUUGAUGGGGUCAGCGCAAGCGAAGCUCCUGAUCGAAGCCCCGGUAAACGGCGGCCGUAACUAUAACGGUCCUAAGGUAGCGAAAUUCCUUGUCGGGUAAGUUCCGACCUGCACGAAUGGCGUAAUGAUGGCCAGGCUGUCUCCACCCGAGACUCAGUGAAAUUGAACUCGCUGUGAAGAUGCAGUGUACCCGCGGCAAGACGGAAAGACCCCGUGAACCUUUACUAUAGCUUGACACUGAACAUUGAGCCUUGAUGUGUAGGAUAGGUGGGAGGCUUUGAAGCGUGGACGCCAGUCUGCAUGGAGCCGGCCUUGAAAUACCACCCUUUAAUGUUUGAUGUUCUAACGUGGACCCGUGAUCCGGGUUGCGGACAGUGUCUGGUGGGUAGUUUGACUGGGGCGGUCUCCUCCUAAAGAGUAACGGAGGAGCACGAAGGUUGGCUAAUCCUGGUCGGACAUCAGGAGGUUAGUGCAAUGGCAUAAGCCAGCUUGACUGCGAGCGUGACGGCGCGAGCAGGUGCGAAAGCAGGUCAUAGUGAUCCGGUGGUUCUGAAUGGAAGGGCCAUCGCUCAACGGAUAAAAGGUACUCCGGGGAUAACAGGCUGAUACCGCCCAAGAGUUCAUAUCGACGGCGGUGUUUGGCACCUCGAUGUCGGCUCAUCACAUCCUGGGGCUGAAGUAGGUCCCAAGGGUAUGGCUGUUCGCCAUUUAAAGUGGUACGCGAGCUGGGUUUAGAACGUCGUGAGACAGUUCGGUCCCUAUCUGCCGUGGGCGCUGGAGAACUGAGGGGGGCUGCUCCUAGUACGAGAGGACCGGAGUGGACGCAUCACUGGUGUUCGGGUUGUCAUGCCAAUGGCACUGCCCGGUAGCUAAAUGCGGAAGAGAUAAGUGCUGAAAGCAUCUAAGCACGAAACUUGCCCCGAGAUGAGUUCUCCCUGAGACUUAGAGUCUCCUGAAGGAACGUUGAAGACGACGACGUUGAUAGGCCGGGUGUGUAAGCGCAGCGAUGCGUUGAGCUAACCGGUACUAAUGAACCGUGAGGCUUAACCUUACAACGCCGAAG